rnacentral:piRNA from 1 species
UGAUGUGAUUGUCGCCCUAUGAGCCA